CAGUAUACGGAAAAAUCGAAAUCGAAUGAUAGUAUUUUUCAUUUUACUGUGGGGUUCGUUGGAUUGGUUUUGGAGCGAGGGAGGAGAGAGUGAGAGGUUGCGAGGGUGGCGUCGAGAGGAUGGAGGUUCCUUCGGCGCCAUCCGUCGAUCCAGAUCUGCCGUGCGUGCCGAGAGAUUCGUCCGAUCACGAGAUCGGGACCGCGUACGAGUUUGUAAUCUUCUCUUCCAUUCAUUGCCUUGCCCUGUCUUCUCGGUGUGUUUGAGCGGAAGGUCCUUUGGUUUCUGAUCAUUUGAUGGUGGGCAAAAAUCUACUUGUUUCUGUGAUCGUUCUUGCCUAUAUUUUGUAUUUGGAUCAUGAUUUUUACUGCGUUUGUAAUUGACAAGGGAGCAUGAAAGGCAGAACAUGGAAUAGGAAACUGGAAUUACAUGUUACAGUUACUGAAAUUGGAGAAAGUUAUGGCCUUGUCAAAAAUUACACAAAGAUGGAUAUAACUCUUCCUAGGCAUGAAUGUGUCUAGCUAUGGGGACUCAUGCUUCUGUCAUCAUAAUUACUUGAUUUGCUCUUUUCCAUUGCUUCUGUGUUUAAUAUAAUUGUUGAAUUAUUAUUUUUUUCUUAUUUUUUUUAUGAAUAACCUUUUGUUAGAGAAUAACGUGUACCAUAAGUAGUUAGGUCAGGAACAUGUGAGUUGAUGGGAAGCGAAAGGGAUGAUUAAGGAUGAUGCCGCUACAUCAGAAAAAAUUUUGCUAUGACCAAUCUAGGUUAGUAAACAAUUUAGUGCCAUAUCAUAUUGUCAUGACCAGUGUGGAUCUUUAAUGUCAUCAAUAUAAUUUUAUGUUUGUAAGAAAACACCGAUUAAAUAAUAUGAUAAUAUGUUACAGUUAGCAUGAUAUGCUUUUCUAGGUUGUCUCUUUUUCAAAUUAGCUUUGGAUUCCAGAGGCAUAAAAUGAAAGCCUUUUCUUAAGGCAUUUUGGUGUUUGGUAUUUCCUUUGGUUAGAAAACUAGAGAUAAGAUGCUUUAGCAUCAAACUUUCUAGUAACUUUUGUUGCAGGUUAGUGAUGGUGUCAUAGGUUGCACUGUGAAACUCUGAGUUGCCACUCGUCUCUAAGGAAUUUGUGUCUGUAUAUUGCUUUAUCAUGGGACAAACAGAUUUUCUAGUCCUUCUCUGCUGCAGUCUAUACCUUUUUGAUAUUUAUGUUUUUUGCACAUUGGAACUUCUAUUCUUGGUUUUUUUUUCUUUUAUCCUGUGAUAUAGAGCCUUCUCACAGUUACCCUUGAAUGGUUUAUAGUAUUAUGAUAACUGGCUGCUUAGAGGAAGUAUAAUGCAUAACUUAGUAAAAUAUAAUGCAUGACUUGGUGAAAAGGGCAUCAGAUUCACAAGUUCCUGAACAUGCUAAGCAUCAGACAUAAUUGUCAAUGGCAAGUGGUUUUUACAUACAGUUGUUAGUUAAGUUACCGAAGUGAUCUGGUAAGAGACUAAAGCAGUGAGAAUUCAGUGCAUGGACAAUAAAAUGAUCUGGUUACAUAAUGGAGGAAAGUUUUUUUAUUUUAAAAGAGCCUUUGUAUUCUAUAAAAGAAAAGGUAAGUAUUGGCUGGUGGUCUAAGGUUGUUUGGUUUAACAAGAAUUUCAAAGGUUGCUUCUGUGCCUUGAUGAGCUGUAUGAGGGAAAUAAUUGCUGAUCCCAAAUAGAUGUUUGAUGCAGUGUUCUGUCUGUGCUUAAUAAAGAUGCUGAAAAUGUUGACCACUUGUUUUUUAUUUGUCUUGAAACUGGUAAGACUUGGAAGGACAUAGUGAGUUUCUAUAAGAUCGGAAGCAAGACUAUGCCAUUAGGGCAGGAGACCACACGCAAAAUAUUGAUUCAAUCUGAGAAAAUACAUGGUUGAUUUAGAGCCACAAUCUAUGAUCUCUAGAUAGAAGGAAAUCAUAGCACAAACCCUCACCAACCAAAACAAAAAGGAAAAAGAAAAAUUUUGUGAGAACCUAGCAUAUGCCUAUCCAAUUAGAAUCCAAUUAGGGGUGCUAGACUCGUUGAGCAUCCACCAACACAUCCCUAUAUGAUAACAAGACAAAGAGAUCCAUCUGGAAAUCCUUGCCAUUGGCAUCUUUGUUGAACCAUAAUCGAAGAAUGAAAACUUAAGUUCUAUAUGUUCACAAUGUAACAGUAUGUAGAGACACAAGGCAUGCUGAUGAGAAUUUAAUUGCUUUCAAGGCUUCCUUUUUUGCAUAAAAGAACCUGAAGAUUAUAAGAGCACCUCUCUAAUCUGCUGCAUGGCCUGACUUGUGUUGUGAGGAGACAAACUGACAAACUUUGCAUGAAAUUUGACAAGAUCUUCAAAUUUUAGGUAGUAGGAAUAGGGUCUACCAAUUGACAAACUGUUCAAUUCUUUCUGCAGCAGAUUGCUGGCUGAAAUCUUGCUUAAGGUAGUUUGCAGCAUGUAUAGAAUUGUCACAAUAAUGUGAACACUGGUCUUUACUGAAUUCAUGCUGGUUUUUUCUUGUGAAGGUGAAGAUGUGCAUUUGUAUCAUUUUUAUUUUAGAUUGAGAUCAAGGGUGAAUUAUUUAACAGUGGUAAUCUCCAAGCGAACACUUGUAUUUACUAAAUUCAUGCUAGUUUUCUCAUGGAUGGUGCAUUUUUAUCAUUUUUAGAUUGUAGAUGAUGGCCAAGGGUGAAUUCUUUAAUUGUGGUGAUGCUUCAAGUUCCUUAAGACUUGCUAUCAUUAAGAUAGGCUUGAUAUUUUAUGUCAAUUGUGGUGGUAGGUUCUGAGUUCAUUGGGCACUCCAUCGUAUAGCAGCCCAUGUUGCGUGGAACAUUAAGAUAACAAUUCUAGCGUUGAUCAUAAUAGUCAUUUAGUUUGAAAUAGUCUCUACAAUAUCUUUUGGCAUGGUCAAUCUUUUUUUAGAGAUUUUUGUUUAAUGAUUUUUUUUGCCAUACGAAGGUAUGUGGAAUGUAAAUAAGAUGAGAAAGAAUUGUUUUAACUUUUAAGAUGGUACAACAUAUUUUAAGAAGCCUUGUAAUAUUCUAAAAGAACAGUUGAGACAAAUAGUACUAGUUUUGUGAGGAGAGGUAGAGGGAGAUAAAAAAAAUUUCCUAGAAACUAUAAACAAAUUUUUAAAUACUCUUAGUUUAACAAAAGAUAUCACCUUGUAUAAAGCCCAAUAAUGGAAAAAGAUCCAAGUUCGGACAUACAAAGUUAUAUUUAAACUAUAAAGUUAUACAAGGUAAUAUCUUUCGUUAAACUAAAAAUAUCAAAUAGUUGGGACAUUAGGACUUGUUCUCUUUGCCAUACAAAGUUGCCGAUUCUUGUGCCAAGUCGAUUGGGGUAAACUGUAUUUUGAGUUUAAGUGGUAUUUCAUAAAUACUUCUGUGAUCUAGAUUAACACCAAGGAAAAUCAUGAGCAAAUUGAUUGGCUAGAACUUAAUUCUAAAGAAGUGAAGAUCGCAACAUAAACAAAAGCAAUACAAAUUGAAAAAGUAGAAGAGGAAUUUUUAUUUGAUUUGUUUUUGUUAGGUUACAUAUGUUUGCCCUGUGUGAUGUUAGCUCUACCUUAGAUCUCAAUAGGUGAAUGGUCAACAUUAUGCUAAAUUAGAGAACCCACUCAAACCAUAUGAAUCUAAUUGACCAGAAUUUGGAAGAUCCAUGAAGCAAGAAGAGAAUAAUGGAUCGAAGGGCUGCUGCUAUAUGCCACCAUAGAAAUGGAGCAAGAUGAACAUGGAAGGGUUUGGUAGCACCUAUCAGGGCAGAGAACUGUCAAUCUUACUGUCUGUGACACUCUGGUAUUUUUUCUCUUCUUUUAUUAGAAAACAGUUUUGGAGAUCAAUAGCUUGUCAGGUGAGAGAUGGCAAAUGAGCAGAUUGGCAGUAGAAAUGAUAAAGUAGUGUUACUUGUUGCACUUGUUCCCCAAAUAUUAUGUUAUCUUUUCAGUUAUUACAACCAAUGUUUUAUCCAUUAUUGAUUUGCACUCUGCACAGGUAAUUCAUCUGACACUGUCAUUGUCUUAGCCACUUUGCCUUGAACAGAAAGCAACUGGUGGCCUUGGUUCUAGGUAAGGAGAAUUGUGUGUUCAUCAUGCCAUCUUUGAACGGAGAGGUGGAGAAGGAGAAUUGUUAUUUCUAGUUAGCAAUGAUGAAAGAUUCUGAGGCUGCUUUCUUCCAAAGGUUGGAAGAUCUCCAACCUUGUCAGUGGCAUUAGGCGUGAAGGAGUUGGUCUUCAUCCAUCACACAAAAGAGCUGUGAGAGAGCCGCACUCUUUUAGCAUCAUUUGGGCGAUGUGGUACACAAAGAAGUCACUUAUUUGACAAGAGAAAGAAAGGCCGUGCUCUUCCCUUAUCAGGCAUGGAAUUGUGAGGGGGAGUGGUUGUGGACUUGAGAUGCCUCACCUAGAAAACGACCAGAAUAGGAACAUUGCUUGUGGAGGUUGGGUGGAACACCUUUUCUAGCUCAAAGAAUUUUGCAAAGUGUAUAUGGUGGGUUAAGUGAAGAAACACCAGAGAGGAUUGGUGGUGCAGUGUUUGGUACUUUGCCCAAAUGCCGGUCUAUCAAAAGCUGAGAGUGUAGUUUAAUAACUAUGGAGUAAUCAUCAAGCGGCAGGCAUGCAACUUUAGUCUCAAGUGAUGGAUGACUCACUGAAAUGGCCAUUCCAGCACAGUGGAGUGGAGUGCUCACUAUUGUCAUAUGCCUUUGUGAUGGCAACUUUCUCAAGAUGCGUUUGAUUGAAGAAUCUAUAAUAGAAAAAUACUCUUGAAUAAACUUGCAGCAGAGUCUUUUAAUGGGUUUGAUUGAAGAAGCAUGAAGCAUACUGUCGAGAAAGCUUGUUUCAAAUUUAAUUCGAUGCAGUACUGGAUGUUGUCAGCAAAAUAUAACACAUGAAGCUUGUAGAUCUUGUAGGUUGAAGGGUCGAUAUCAAGGGAAGCUGGUGGGGGCAUGAAGCUGGACAUGAACAGUUCUUAUCCAAAGGUAAUUUGUCGAGACCUAUUCAAGCCUAAUAGUUUAGGGGAGAAGCCUAUUAUUAUUUUGGCUAUGAUAUGUCCUGCUUAUACAUGCGACAGUUUUCCAGCAGAGGACACUCUAAAAUAACAACACUGCAUGAUCUUUGCAACUCUUACUUUGC